rnacentral:rRNA from 1 species
CAGUAGCCGCGGUAAUACGGAGGGUGCAAGCGUUAAUCGGAAUUACUGGGCGUAAAGCGCACGCAGGCGGUCUGACAAGUCAGAUGUGAAAUCCCCGGGCUUAACCUGGGAACUGCAUUUGAAACUGUCAGGCUGGAGUCUUGUAGAGGGGGGUGGAAUUCCAGGUGUAGCGGUGAAAUGCGUAGAGAUCUGGAGGAAUACCGGUGGCGAAGGCGGCCCCCUGGACAAAGACUGACGCUCAGGUGCGAAAGCGUGGGGAGCAAACAGGAUUAGAUACCCCUGUAGUCCCUGUCUCUUAUAC